ensembl:rRNA 5S_rRNA 5S ribosomal RNA
GCUUACGGCCAUACCAACCUGGCUAUGCCCGAUCUCGUCUGAUCUCGGAAGCUAAGCAGGUUUGGGCCUGGUUAGUACUUGGAUGGGAGACCGGCUGGGAAUACCAGGUGCUGUAAGCU